GUCAUUUCAACCCUUAAGCCUAGUUGCUUAGUGUUGGGAAUCUGCCCUGUAUUUAUAGGGCAGUUCCUUAAAGUGAUCGGCGGAGUUAGGGCAUACUCUAAGCGUAGUAAUAUUCUUCUCGCUUCUGUAGUUGUCCUGGCGGCUUGCCGUUAAACCCCUAUAUUUCUAGUGGUUGACCUCGGAUUAGGUAGGAAUACCCGCUGAACUUAAGCAUAUCAAUAAGCGGAGGAAAAGAAACCAACAGGGAUUGCCCUAGUAACGGCGAGUGAAGCGGCAACAGCUCAAAUUUGAAAUCUGGCCCUAGCGGUCCGAGUUGUAAUUUGUAGAGGAUGCUUUUGGUUAGGUGCCUUCUGAGUUCCCUGGAACGGGACGCCAGAGAGGGUGAGAGCCCCGUACGGUUGGACACCGAGCCUCUAUAUAGCUCCUUCGACGAGUCGAGUAGUUUGGGAAUGCUGCUCUAAAUGGGAGGUAAAUUUCUUCUAAAGCUAAAUACCGGCCAGAGACCGAUAGCGCACAAGUAGAGUGAUCGAAAGAUGAAAAGUACUUUGAAAAGAGGGUUAAAUAGCACGUGAAAUUGUUGAAAGGGAAGCGUUUGCGACCAGACUUUUUCCAGGCGGAUCAUCCGGUGUUCUCACCGGUGCACUUCGCCUGGUUUAGGCCAGCAUCGGUUCUCUUAGGGGGAUAAAGGCCUGGGGAA
rnacentral:rRNA from 1 species